rnacentral:rRNA from 1 species
UACGGAGGGAGCUAGCGUUGUUCGGAAUUACUGGGCGUAAAGCGUACGUAGGCGGCUUUGUAAGUUAGAGGUGAAAGCCCGGGGCUCAACUCCGGAAUUGCCUUUAAGACUGCAUCGCUAGAAUCAUGGAGAGGUGAGUGGAAUUCCGAGUGUAGAGGUGAAAUUCGUAGAUAUUCGGAAGAACACCAGUGGCGAAGGCGACUCACUGGACAUGUAUUGACGCUGAGGUACGAAAGCGUGGGGAGCAAACAGG